CCUACGGGAGGCAGCAGUGAGGAAUAUUGGUCAAUGGGCGCGAGCCUGAACCAGCCAAGUAGCGUGAAGGAUGACUGCCCUACGGGUUGUAAACUUCUUUUAUAAAGGAAUAAAGUGAGGCACGUGUGCCUUUUUGUAUGUACUUUAUGAAUAAGGAUCGGCUAACUACGUUCCAGCAGCCGCGGUAAUACGGAGGAUCCGAGCGUUAUCCGGAUUUAUUGGGUUGAAAGGGAGCGUAGAUGGGUUGUUAAGUCAGUGGUAAAAUUUCGGGGCUCAACCCCGUCGUGCCGUUGAAACUGGCGUUCUUGAGUGAGCGAGAAGUAUGCGGAAUGCGUGGUGUAGCGGUGAAAUGCAUAGAUAUCACGCAGAACUCCGAUUGCGAAGGCAGCAUACCGGCGCUCAACUGACGCUCAUGCACGAAAGCGUGGGUAUCGAACAGGAUUAGAUACCCGGGUAGUC
rnacentral:rRNA from 1 species